AUGAAAUCGUGGACACUUUGGGUGAAGGGGCCUUUGGCAAAGUUGUAGAAUGCAUUGAUCAUGGCAUGUAAGUUUAUUUUUAUAUCUUUGAACAUUCUGAUAUUUUUGAUGGGAAAUCACCCAUAAUUUAAAUGAAGUAUGUUUUUAAAGUAGUAGUAGCUACAAGUUUUUCUGAUAGAUAUUCAACAUUUCUUUAACCUAGAUAUAGUUUAUUUACCAGGUACGUAGAUUUUAUGAAGAAUGCUGACAAAUUCUAUCAAAUUGAGUUUAUUGAAGUUAAAGUGUGUGUUCAAGUGAAGGAGUUUCCCAGAGCUUAGAUUGUUGGUCCUCUAUUAGGAGAGAUUCAGCUACUUUUGGAUUGCAGAGACAAAAAUAUAUCUAAAUUUUCAUAAUAGAGUUAACUUCCUAGUCUGCAAAGAAAUUAUCCUACUUGAGACCUACAGAAUUAAGUCCAAUUUUUUAAAUGAGGCCUACCUACCCGUUUGUGAUUUGAUGACCUACUCUGCCUCAUUUUACCAUAUUCCUUCAGUUCCUCUAUUCUGUGGUUUGCCUAUGUCUGUGUAACUAAAUCUUUUAAAGCACGUUUAGUAGAACUGCAUAUUUUAAAUUGACAUCUAAAGUUUUUUGUCAUAAAUUAUGAUAGUUGGAAAGGAUGUAAUUUUCAGCUUAUUUUAAAUAUGAGUAUUUAAAAACUAAAUUUUUAAAUAUAUUGGAGGCAGUCUCAAUAUCAUAGCCACUUGAUAAUGUACUAUCAUUCAUGAACAAACUUUCUUGAAUGCAUACUUAGGACUGGGGGAGUAGCUCAGCAAUCAAGUACUUGUGCAAAGCCCUGGGUUCAGUCCUCAGCAACACAAAUUUUUCAUCCUUGAAGUAAUUUCUGUUCCAUUGUCCAUAAAGAAAAUUAUCCUAAAUUUUAUUAUCACCCCAUCUUACUUCUCUGCAACAAAAAUGUGAACAUAAGUUGAAUUUUAUACUUUGAAAUAUUUGUAGACUCACAGAACAGUGGACAAGACUUGGGUGGGAAGGCAGGUGAUCCAACAGGGAGAGACAGGUACAGGCCCAGGGACACUGUCAGGUGUUAGGGUUCUGGGUACAGAACCAAGCACCCAGAAAGAGUAAGGGGCCCAUGUGAGAGGCAGGGCUCUGUUUCCCAUAAGGUGCCCUGGCCUAGAUUAGAAUCCAGGGCCAGGGUCCUGACAAAGGAGGCCUGGCAAGGGAAGGGGGAUAGGAGGAGGGUGACGGCAGGGCAUGGCAGAGGGUCCUGGUAGGUGCUCAGAAGGGAGAGACCCAGGACCCAAGCUAGCAGCCCAGGAAAGGGACCCACUCGACCGUUCUUGGAUGAGAGACCCAAAGAGAAGGAGACCCACAGCGCCAGAGGAAUUCGUGAGGGAAAGGCGAAGAAGGGGUUGCAUGAGGACCAGAAGACAGACAAAAGCACAAGGCACCUAGGGGAGCCCGCUGCAGGGCACAAGCAAGAAGCCUCCAGGUCAGACCCAACACAAAGAGACUCCAUGUUAUGCUAAAGGACAUGAGGAAAGGGGUCAGGAGUUCAGGGAAGCAGCCAGGCCCUGGGACUGAAGCGCAACAGACCAAGGUUAGGGAAGGCUGGGUUGGGGUUAGGGCAUCACGCAAGGCAAGAGGGCACUAGAGAGAAGGGGAUUCAAAGGGCUGGGUUGGAGCAAGUCACAUGUUUACUGCCAGGCAUCAAGGUUCAAGCAGUGAAGGGGACACAGGCCAGUGGCAGGGCUGUGUUUCCCACAGGGUGCAGAGGCCAGCCAAUUCCAUUCCUCUGUCCCAGGUGAGUAGAUCCUCAGAGAGGGACCUGGACCAAAGGAGGGGCAAAAGCAGGCACUUUUAGAUGAUACCUGUGAUGCAGAGUUGGGGGUGGGGUCGGUGGGCAGCCAGGACCCAUUUGAGGAGCCCCGACUACAAAGGAGCCGGGGGAGCAGAGGGUCUGGGCAGUGCCAGAAUACCUCAGCAUAAGGGGAACAGAGGGUAAAUGGGGCCUGAAACCAAGGGACAGGGACAUGGUCCCCAAGAAGGGCAGCAAGGUCAAGCAAGGAGCUGGACCCAGUAAUGGAGAGCCAAGCGCUAGCACCUGGGCCUGGGUGAAUGAAAAGGGACAUGGUUGUUUUUGGGAACUCUUAUACCUCUGCAGCCUGGGUAGAGCAGACUGGCUCCUCCAGGCGAAAGACUCCUCCCACCUUGGUGUCCAGGCUAGCUUGCAUUCUGCCUCAGCCAACCUAGAGGGGACUCGUCCCUCCAGGCAAGAGACCCCUCCCACCUCGGUUUGUAGAAGGGGCUCCUAUACAGGUGCAGCCAGGGUAACAGGGACUUGCCCCUCCAGGCCGGAGAUCCCUUUCACCUGGAUGUCUGAGGGAAUUCAUAUACCUCCACAUGCAGUGUGGAGGGGACUCGCCCCUCCAGGCGGGAGACCUCUUCCUCCUGGAUGUCUGGGGAAACUCCUAUAUCUCCACAGGAAGAGUAGAAGGGACUCACCCCUCCAGGCAGGAGAUGCCACCCAACUGGGUGUCAGAGGAGCUAGUACACCGCUCCAACGAGGGUAGAGCGUACUCCCCCCACCAGGCCGGAAUCUCCUCCCACCUAGGUGUCUGGGGGAUCUUGUAUACUGCCACAGCAUGGUUAGAGGGGACUCGCCUCUCCUGGCAAAGAUCCCUACCAUCUCGGUGUUGAAGGGAGCUCAUAUACCAUUGCCACCAGUGUAGAGGGGACUUACCCCUGCAGUGGGAAGUCGCCUCCCACGUGGGUGUCUUGGGAGGUCUUAUAUGGCACCAGCUAAAGUAGAGGGCACUCUCCCCUCCAGGGGGGAGAACUCUCCCACCUGGCUGCUGGGGUGAGCUUGUAUGCUACCAAAGCCAGUAUAGAGGGGACUCACCACUCCAGGCGGGACACCCCUCCCACCUGGUUGUCUGAGGAAGCUUGUAUACUUCCACAGCUAGGGUAGAGGUGAUUUGCUGCUCUAUGCAGGAGACUCUUCCUACCUGGGUGUCAGGGGGAGCUCUUAUACUGCCACAGCCAGGGUAAAGGGGAUUUGCCCCUCCAGGCAGGAUAUGCCUCCCACCUGGGUGUCGGGGGGCGAUCUUAUACUGCCAUAGCCAGGAUAGAGGGGACGCGCCCCUCCAGGGUAGAGACCCCUUUCACCUGGGUGUCCAGGGGAGCUCCUAUAAUGCCACAACAAGGUUAGGGGAAACUAACUAGACCAUGCCCGCCUGGGUGUGGGGGGGGAGCUAUUAUACUGCCACAGCCAGGGUAGAGGAGACUCGCCCCUCCAGGAAGGAGACCCUUCCCAACUGGGUGUCACCCGGGGCUUGUAUAAAUCCUUAGCAAGGGUAGAGGGUUGUUGCCUCUCCAGGCAGGAGACCCUUCCCGCCAAGGUGUCAGGGGGAGCUCAUAUUCUUUAGCAGCCAGGGUAGAGGGGACUUGCCCCUCCAUAUUGGAGACCCCUCCCACGUGGGUAUGGUAGGGGGCAGCGACUAUACCACCAUAGAAAGGGUAGAGGGGAAUCGCCCCUCCUUGCUGCAGAACCACUCCCACCUGGGUGUCAGGGGAGCUCCUACACCACUGUAGCCAGGGGAGAAAGGACUCGCCCUUCUAAGGAGGAGACCGCUCCCACCUUGGGUGUCUUUGGGAAUUCCUAUACAGCAGCAGCCAGGGGAGAGCCGACUCACCCCUCCAGGAGAGAGACCCCUCCCAUCUUGAUGCCAGGGCAAGCUUGAAUUCCUCCUUAGCCAGGGUAGAGGGGAUUUGCCCCUCUAAGUGGGAGACCACUCCAACCUGGGUGUUGGAGCUGGGCAGGUAUACAGCUACAGCCAGGGUAGCAGAGACUCUCCUCUCCAGGCAGGAGACCUCUUUCAUCUGGUUGUCAGGGGGAGCUCUUAUCCCUCUGCAACAAUUUAGAUGGGACUCACCCCUCAAGGCAAGAGACCCCUCCCUCCUGGGUGUAUGUGUGUGGCGGGGAGCUCUUAAAUCUCCAAAGCCAGAGUGGAUGGGACUCACGACUCCAGUCCGAAGACACCUAAAACCUCUGUGUCAGUGGGAGCUCCUAUACCACCACAGGCAGGGUCCAGGGUACUCUACCUUCCAGGUGGUAGACUCCUCCCAACUGGGUGUCAGGAGACCUAUUGUACUGCAGCAGCCAGGGUAGAGAGGUCUUGCCCCUCCAUGUGGGAGACCCCUUCCACCUGGGUGUCUCAAGGAGCUUGUAUACCACCUUAGCCAGGGUAGAGGCGACUUGCCCCUCCAGACGGGAGACCCCUCCCAUCUGAGUGUGAGGGCAGCUCAUAUACCACUGCAGCCAAUGUAGAGGGUACUUGCUGCACCAGGCGAGAGACACCUUCCACCAGGGUGUCGGGAGAUUGUAUACUGCCACAGCCAGGGUAGAGGGGACUCUCCUCACCAGGCAGGAGACCCCACCCACCUCCAUGUGUGGGGGAUCUUGUAGACUGCCAAAGCCAGGUUAGAGGGUACUCGCCUCUCCAGUCGAAGAAUCUUCCCACCUGGGUAUCAAAGAGAGCUCAUAUACCUCUGCAGACAGAGUAGCAUGGACUUGCCCCUCCAGGUGAGAGACCCCUCCCACCUGAGUGUCUGGAGGAGCUCCUAUGCCUCUGCAGCCAGGGUAGAGGGGCCUUCCCUUCCAGUUGGGAGACACUGCCCACAUGGGUGUCCUAGGAGUUCUUAUAUGGCACCAGCCAAAGUAGAGGGGACUCGUCCCUCCAGGUGGGAGGACCCUCCCACCUGGGUGCUGGGGUGAGCUUGUAUACCGCAAGAGCCAGGAUAGAGGGGACUUGCCCCUCCAGGUGGGAGACCCCUCCCACCUGGGUGUCUUGGCAAGCUUGUAUAUCUCCACAGCUAGGGUAAAGGGGAUUCACUGCUCUAGGUGUGUGACCCAUUCUACCUGGGUGUCAGGGGGAGCUCAUAUAUUACUGCAGACAGCAACAAGGGAAAUCGCACUUCCCGCAGGAGAACCCUCCCAUCUGGGUGGGUGGGGGAGAUCAUAUAACACACAAGCCAGAAUAGAGGGGACUCGCCCCUCCAAGCAGGAGACCCCUCCCACGUGGGUGCCUGGGAGAGCUGGUACACCCCCCCCCCCCCCCCCAGCCAGGGUAGAUUGGAAUCGCCCCCCUGCAGGCGGAAGUCCCCUCCCACCUGGGUUUCAGGUGGAGCACGUAUACCCCAGCAGCCAGGGUAGACACAACUGGAACCUCCAGGUGAGAGACACCUCCCACCUGGGAAUUCGGGUAACUCCUAUACUGCCUUAGCCAGGGUAGAGGGGACUCACCCCUGCGGGUGAAGACCCUUCCCACAGGGAUAUCUGGUGAGGGGGGAUUCAUAUACAGCUGCAGCUGGGGUAGCAGCAACUCCCCCAUCCAGGCGGGAGACCCCUCCCUCCUGCGGUUUGGAGGGGGCUCUUAUAAUCCUGCAGCCAGGGUUGAGGGUAUUCACCUCUAUAGGCGGGAGACCCUCCCACCUCAGGAUGUGUGGAGGGGGGAGCUCCUAUAUCUCUGCAGUUAGAGUAUAGCUGACUUGCCCUCCAGAGGUGUGGGGAGUGGAGCUGUAUACCCCUGCAGCCAGGGUAUUGGGUACUUGCCCCUCCAGGCAGGAUACCCGUUUCACCUGGGCAUAAGGGGGAGCUCUUAUACCACAGCAGCCAUGGUAGAGGGUACUUUCCCCUCCUAGGCAGGAGACCCCUCCCACCUGGGUGUCAGGGGGAGCUCCAAUACUGCUGCUGCCAGGGUAGAGUGGACUCGCUCCUCCAAUGGGAAGACCCCUCCCACGUGAGUCUCUUUUGGAGCUUAUAUACAGCUUGAGACAUGGUAGAGGGGACACUAAUCUCCAGGCAAGGGACACCUCCCACCUGCGUGUCAAGGGAGCUCAUAUAUCCCAGCAGCCAUGGUAGUAAUUGUAUUAAUAAUUGUAUUUGUUCAAUGAGCUAUUCUCAUACAGAAAAUUUUCCCACAGGGAUUCAUUGAACAAAUACAAUUACUAAUACAAUUACUACCACUCAUCCUUCAACUUAAUGCUUAAAUAUAUUUAAGGGAAUUAUUAAAAACCUUUGAAUGGUGAAAAAGAUUGCAUGGAAAUUUCUAUUUAUUGUGGUGAAGACCAAAAUAUCUCAGUCCUAUCUGGAGGGAACAUGUAAGAAGAAAGUAGGGAGAGGAGGUGAUUUGAAACGGCAGGCAGAGUAAAAGAAAGUGUAAACUUAUUUGAAGAGUACUUGGUACAUGGGACUUCAGCAUGUGUAUUAGCUCUUGCUUUUCUUCCUCUAUGUAUUUCUUACUUUCUCCCACAGUUUCUGUUCUUAAAAAAAUGAUUUUUUGAUUGACACAUAAUAAUCUUGCAUAUUUAUAAAAUACAAUGUGAUGUGACAUUUUGAUUCAUGUGUACCUGCCGUUGAGUACCUUCAGUUGAGAUCAACUCAGGGUAAAUAGCAUACCCCUCACCUUAUACAUUUAUCAUUUCUUUUUGGCAAGUAGAUUCAAAAAUCCUCUUUUUUAUUUUGAGAUGCAUAAUGCAUUAUUGUUAACUAGAUACACCCUACUGAGCCAUAGAACAUUAGAAAUAUUUGUCUUACCAAAUGGUAACAUUGUACCCCUUGACUAAUCUCUUUUCCUCUCCACUUCCCACUAUUCUCCCCAGACCUGGCCCUCACCAUUCUACUCUCAACUUCUAUGAGAUCAGUUCUUUUUGGAGUUCACAUCUGAUUGAGAUCAUGUGAUAUUUGCCUUUGAAACAUAAAAUCUGCCGUUUGCAACACCAUUUAUGGUAAGAGAAAUAUAUCAGGCACAAAAAGACAAACACUGAUUACUCUUUGGUGGCAUAUUUAGAACCCUAUAGACAGGAAGCUCUGUCAUUUCCCUGUUUUUCAUUUCUUUCUUGGCCAGAACUGAGAAAAAAUUAGAAGGAAAAUUCAUUUUUUAUAGCUCAAUUAUGUUCAUUGCUUAAACAACAUCCAUUAUUUUAGCCACAGGAUUUUAGAACACUGUUGCAGUUGUUAAGAUUAGCACACUUAAAAAUAUUAACCCCGACACAAAACCACAGCGUGGAAAAGUAUACAGCAUUCUUCACAUUUCAAUGCUACUCAUUAGUCACUUAAUGUUUUAAAAAUAUGAUGAAAGCAUUUAUACCCAAGUCAGAGGGGGGCUUUGCAAUCUCUAAUGUAUACUGAUGGAUACUCUUCAAUGUAUAAAGGUGGAUAUUUUAAAAUUGAUUUAAGUGAAUAACACAUAUACAAAAAAAAGCAUUCCUAUCAUAAGUAGAUUUGCACAAACCAUUUGUACCCUUAAAGCAUUCAGAGCAUCAAAUUACCAUUAACCCAGAAGGUCCCUUAUCCUCCCUCUGUCCACUGCUUUGCUUCCCUGGGGGAUAAUACUGACCUGAUUUCAACCCUAUAUAUUAAUUUAGCAAGUGUUUAAAAUCUACAUGUGUAGUCAUACAAUAUUAACUUAUUUCAUAGCUGGCUUAUUUUGUUCAACACAAUGACUUUGGGAUUAAUCUGCAUUUUUGUGAUUAAUUGUAGAUUGUUCAUUCUCAAUAAUGAACACUGUAGAACAUUUCAUUGUGAGAAUUUAUCUCAAUUUACUUAACCAUUCUGCCAGGAUAAGCAUUGAGAUAAUUGGCAGCUUGGGACUCUUAAAAAUAAUGCUAUAAAUAUCUAGUAAAUGUGUUUUAUGAAAAUAGGUACUGUAGGUAAAUUACUGUUGAGUAUCUCUAGGAAUAGAACUUCUGAACCAUAGGGUAAACAGAAGUGAGGCUUUAGUAAAUAUUGCCAAACCAUAAAUUAAAUCACUUUACAUUCACAGGAAAAGUGUAGGAGAGUUAAGUUGGCUACAGACCCUCACUGAUACUUGAUAUUUUUCUAAUUUUUAUUACUUAUUUUAUUCUUUUAAAAGCUGAUACAUAACAUAUUUAUGGGGAAAAGUAUAUAUAGUUCAAUACAUGUACACACUGAAUAAUGAUCAAAUCAAGAGAGUAAGCAUAUCCGAUUUUUAACAUAAUUUAUAUGUAUUAGAAGACAUCCUAUUCUUCUUUUAGAGUUAUUUUCCCAAAUAUAUCAUAUAUUAUGAAAAGUUAAUUUCUGUUUGACUAUAAAUUAUUAUGAUUUCUAAUCUUGUUUGGAAUUCCUGCCCAUGCCUUGAACUCACCCAUGCCUGAAUUUCUCUGACCAGAUAACAACCCUCUCUUAAACCUUAGUGGAACCUCAUAAAUCCUAGCUCCCCCUGACCAGAUAACAACCCUCUCUGAAACCUCAGCAGUGCCUCAUAAAUUCUAAUGUUGGGAUCUGAAUUUACUCCCUGCCUUCAAAUAUCAUGCCACGUACAUCAUUAACCUGUUAUCUGCCUUUGUAUUAUGCUUGUCAAAAUCCUGUUAUCUUUAAGUUCUCAAGACACUCCCCUUUGCAACUUUUUGAGCUAUAAAACUGUGUUCCUGGAAAGCUGGGGUACUGAUCUCUAGCCCGGAAUUUUAGGUGAGAUGGUUGCUGGCCAGACUUUGUGUACACAAAUACAAGCUUGCUUUAAUUUGAUUUAAAACAAAAGUUAGUAGUCUUUUCUUUGUGUCAGGGUUCAAAAACAUUAACAACAACAACAACAAAGGAAACAUGAAGGAAGAGACUGUAUUGCUAAUUUCUGCUGGUUAUAGAGAAAUUACAACUAUUGCUGAUUUAUAAAACCAUCCUAUUCUACUCAAACUUUGUUUUUAAAUACUUAAUACCAAAUUGAAAAGAAAAAAUACUUCUUCUAGGUGGAAGUUUGGAUUUUUGCCCUUCUACUAAGUUAAUGCUUGGUAUUAAAACUUUUGCUAAAAUAAGUUUCUACAAAGGAGGAAAAGCUUACCCAUCACUUGGUUUCUGGGACACAGCCAAGUGCCUGGGUUUCAGACUGCAUGGGCACUGUAUCUUUUGGGGUACCUAUUCCAUAAGGCAGGGCUGUAGGAGGUUUAAAGUGGUGGCACAUUUCUUUUUAUCCUUGUGUUAGGAGUGCAGUACCUCAAAGAAGGUUCAUUUUUCUUUCAUAGAGAUAUUCAUAUCUCAGAAAGAAAAAAAAAUCUAAAAUGUGAACUUAAAGCUGACUAAUGCUGUGACUAUGUUUGCCACAAACUGAAAUAUACUACAUUUCACUCUUGGAACUUGUGCUGUAAAGAAACCUAGGUAGCACCUGAUUCACCACCAUGUACAAUCUUAUGAAGGCAAUUGUAUAAUGCAAUAGCGCAGCCAACAUACUUUUGUGGGGAGUAGGGGAAAAUGAAGGGAAAAAAAGAAUCAUCAAAGUGAAUUCUCUUUUGUGACAUUGGAAGUUAUUCUUUGAUGAACUAUAUUAUUGUAAUACCCCCCUGAGGCCUUUUAGGCUCUUGUCUCAGAUUUCAAGUCUUGGUGAAAUUUGAAAACUGCUUUUCUUAGAAGAUAGAAACUGGUAGUGGUAGAGAGUUAAUAGAUAUAAUUUCUUACCUAAUUCUCAGGAGGAAGGACAUUAAGGAAUUGUAUUUAAAAGCAGCACCCUCUCUUCACUUUUGUCCUCAGGAUAUCUUUGGGUCUAAAUACAAUACAGAUACAGAUACAAUACAAUACAGAUAUUGUAUUGCAAGUGUGCAAUUUGAAAACUUAGAGAAUUAGAAAUGAAUUGCAAAUGGCAGGUAAUUUCCAAAGGUUGAUGCAAACUGAUGCAACUGAUGGUUGAUGGUGAAUACCAAGGGUUCUUAUUGAACUUACUCCUGAUGCAACAGCAAUUUCAAUUUCCUCCCAGUGACUUAAUUGUUAUAUUGCUCCAUAGUAUCCAAUAUGUGCAUUAGGAGAACUGCUAGAAAGAGCAAGAAUACAUGUAGAAAGCUUCACAAUCAUGAUCAAACUUGAUUCUCAACUCUGACAUUGGAUCAAAAUGUGGCCAUCCCUUACUGAGGCCAUUAGUCCAGGUCUCAGAUUUGAAAUCUAUGUGCAAUUUGUUAACUGCCUUUGGUAUUACAUGGGCAAAUAGUAGUGGUAGGGAGUUAGGAGAUGCAAUUUCUUUCUUAAUGCUCAAGAGAGCAUUAAAGUGUACUGUUUCACAGUAGCAAAACUUUACAUUUGACUCAAGGUAUCUGCACACAUACAGACAAGUAUGUACAUUUUGAAAACUCCUUAUAGCAGUAAGAGAGAAUUGCAAGUGGCAGAUAGUUUGCAAAGAAUGAUGCAAACUUAAUUCUCAAAUGUUUUUUACCUUUAAUUACUGCUGCAAAAGCAGUUUCAUUUUCUUCCCAUGGGUAUAAUAGGUGCUAUUCUCCACAGCAAACAAUAUCUGCAUUAGUGAAACUGCUAGAAUGAGCAGGAGUGAAACAGUACAUGGACGGAGCUUCAAAAUGCAUGAUAAAACUUAAUGUUCAACUCUGGCUUUGGGAGUCCUUUCUUAAUGAACUACAGUAUUGCCAUAGCUCACUGUGGUCUUUUAGAACCUCUUCUCAUAUUUGAAGUAUACGUGUAAUUUGUAAGUUGCUUUAUGUGGGAGAUGGAAAACAUUAGUUGUAGGAAGUUAGUAGAUACAAUUUUUUAAUCUAAUGCACAAAGGGGCGUUAAGGAAUAAUAUUUCACAGUAACAGCCUGUCACUUGCAGUUUACUCCUAUCCCUCUUAGGUAUUUUCAAAAUGCAGGUGUUCAGAUACAUUGAGAAAAGCCUGAAGAUGCUUUGGAAAUGCAGGUGAACUCAGUACUGACUUAAACUACUUUUCUGUUAAUACCCCCUUGUGCAUUAUGUAAGAAAUUAAAUUGGAUUAUUCUCUACCAUUACCAGUUCCCAUCUUCUAUGAAGAGAAAUGUACAGAUUGCACCUAGACUCCAAAUCUGAGACCUGGGGCUAUAGAGAGGUAUGGCAUAUUGUAGUUCAUCAAGGAUUGACUCCUAAUGCCAGAAUUGAGAAUUCGGUUUGAUCACACAUUGUGCUGCUUUCUACAGUAACAUUUUACUCUUGCUCAUUCUACUAGUUUUUAAUGUGGAUACUCAGUGCUGUAGAGCAAUGUACUUAUUAAACCCCUGGUGAGAAAGAUAAAUCUGCUGUAGGAAAAGUAAUGAAUUCAGUAAGUCCCCUUUGGGAAUUCAGUUGUUUUGGCAUGGGGAAACUGCCUUUUAAUUGUGAUUCAUUCCUACCUGUAUGAGGCAUUUUCAAAAUGCACAUAUUCAGGUGUGUAGAAUACAGUUCUGAGUGACUCUGAAUGCCAGAACUGAAAAUUCAGUGUGAUGCUGCAUUGUGAGGCUUUCUACAUGUACCAUUUCCCACUAGCUCAUUCUAGUUUUUCCAAAUCUGGAUAUUAGAUCUGUUGAGCACUUUAACUAGGAAUCCCCUGGGAAGAAAGUAAAGCCUGUCUUGCAGCAGCAGUCUAUUCAGUAGGACCCAUUUGUGAAUUAAGUUUGAACCUGCUUCUAAAAUCUUCCUGCCACUUUCAUUUCACUCUUAUUCCUAUAAGCUGUUUUCACAAUGCACAUAUUUGGCUGUAUUUUUCUCAGGUCUUAUGGUAUUCUUAAGAUAAAUGUAAAGGUCUUUUUGUUUAAUUUUGUUUGUUUAUUUGCCAUGAAAGACAAUUUCUUAAUCCUACUUGAGUGUCAUGACAGUAAUUAUAUCUCCAAACUCCCUCUAAGUACACUUUUGUGUCUUCUAUAAAAACGGAUCACAAAUUGCUCAUAGCUUCAAAUCUGAGUCCUGUGCCUAAUGGGCCACAGAUAUUAUUGGAAACAUUAAACUUAAAACAAGGGUUGACUUCAAAUGACAGAAUUAAGAAUUCAGUUUGAUUCUUCACUGUGAGAUUUUCUCUAAUUCCCACUUCCCUUCUGAUUUUUCUAGCUCUUUUCUAAAGGCAGAUACAAGGCCCUGUUGAGCAGUGUAAUUAGUGAAGCCUGUGUGGUAGCAAGAGUCAAUUCUGCAAGACUCUUUCAUGGUUUCAUUUGAAUUAGCUUCUGGAAGAUACAUGACACAUUUAUUUCACUCCUGUUUUUAUAACCUGUUUUCAAAAUGCAGAUAUUUAGCUGUAUUGAGUUCAGGAUUUUUGCAGUAUUGUUAUGGUUUACAUUUUGGUAUCCUCCAAAAGAUCACUAUGAGAAAAUGCCUGAGAGUUUAGAGGUGAAAUGAUUGGAUUAUUACAACCUUAACCUGUUCCAUACAUUAAUCUCUUGAUGGGCAUUUACUGAAAGGUAACAGUAGGCAGGUGGUGUGUGGUUAAAAUAGGUGGGUCCCUGGGGGCAUGCAUUUAGGUUAUAUAUUUUGUCCACAUUGACAAGAGUUCUCUCUUUGCUUCCUGGUGGCCAUGUCCUGAUGUGUUCUCCUUCACCACAUACCUCUAACAUGGUAUUCUGCUUCACCUUGAACCCCCAGGAAUGGAGCCAGCUCUCUUUGAACUGUGACUUCUGAAACUGUGAGCCACCAGGUAAACUUUUCCAUCUAAAACUGUUCUUGUCAGGUCUUUUAAUCACAGCAGAAACCAAAAGCUGACUAAAAAAAGUGCACUUAGGAUGAAUGUGCAUGAUGUAGGGUGUUGAAAGACAAUUCCUUAAUGCCCCCUUGAGCUUUUUGAAGAAAUUUCAUCUGAAGACUCCCUCCAAAUAAAGUUCCCUGGCUUCUAUAAAAAGCAGUUUACAAAUUGCACAUAGGCAUCAAAUCUGAGUCCUGGACCUAAAGGGUCCCAGAGAUGUAUGGGAACAUUGGGAUGACUCCAAAUGUCAAAAUUAAGAAUUUGGUUUGAUUCAGUAUGGAGAAGCUUUCUAUGUACCAUUUCCCUCCUGCUCAUUCUAGCUUUUCCACAUCCAGAUAUUGGGCCUGGUUGGGACUGAUUGACUACGAAGCCCCUGGGAAGAAACUGAAGCCUGUGCUGCAGCAGAAUUCAAUUCAAGUAGGACUAAUUUGUGAAUUCUGUUUGAAUCUGGAAGCUACUUAAUACUUUCAUUUCACUCUUGUUCCUAUAAGCCACUCUAAAACUGCACAUAUCCAGGGGUAAUGAGGUCAGAAUUUAAGGUGCCCUUAGGAAAAAUUUGAAGGUUGUGCUCCCAUGAAAGAGAUUUUCUUUAUUCCCAUUUGAGCAGCUUGUAAGAAAUUAUCUCUGUAUCCUCCCUCUAUGGAUAGUUUCCUGUCUCUUAUGAAAAGCUUUUAGAAAUUUCAAUACCUGGGCCUCUUGAGCAAAGAUGAGGGAGCCUAGAAACCAAGACUCUGCUCUUAAAGGGAAAAGAUGACUGAGCCCUAGGUAGGUUCAGGAAGUAGGAACACAAAUCCACCUCACUAUUCAUUAAGAACAAGCUCUAGGCCAGAGGAGAGUGGUGUGUUACAGGUAUCUCAAGGAUGUACUUGUCAGGUGCCUUGCCCCCAGUUCAGGUGGAGUAAUCCCUGAAACCCCUCAGGAGAUUUUGUGUGAGGCCUGUCAAAUUUUGACCCUUUCAGUCCUUUCCAGUGGAGUGCCAUCUAGGGAAGGUCUGAAUUCUGUAAAAUUUGCACAAGCUGGAGUCCCUGAGCAACAAAGGCAUUAGCUGGGACAGGAUAGGCAUCUGUGUAAGUCAGGCAAAUUAGACAAGUCUUGGAUUGGCUAGUCCGGGCUUUUCUGGAAUAUCAAAAACAUGGCAAGGUGAAGGAGGGCAAGGGAAGACAAGGAAAUGGAUGACUGGGCUUGGUUUGAUUGGGUGUAACUAGGCUUGGCUUGGCUUUUACUUGAGUCACAUCAUGACCAGGCAAUGAAAAACAAGGCAAAGCAAGACAAGGCAAAAGAAUAUUUGGCUGGGCUGGGCUGGGCUGGGCUAAACUGGACAUAGCUUAGCUUCUCCAGAGACAUAUGAUGACAAGGCAAUGAAAAGCAAGACAAUAAAAAUCAAGGUAAGUCAGGACUAGCAAGGCUUGAAUCCUUCUCAUUACCCAUGCCAUGGUGACAUAAAAUAAGUUAAAUAAAGGCAAUGCUUGACUUCUCAUUGAUACCAAAACCAUGGAAAAGUAAGGAAAGGCUUUCCCUCUAUAGCCAAACUGUGGCAAGACACAGCAAGGCUAGACUAGUCAAGUCAAAGCUAGAAAGUGUUGGCUUACCUCCAAUAUCCAAGCAAUGGCAAAACAAGGAAACGAAAAGGAAGUCAAGGCAAGGCAUUUCAAAUAAAGGCAAAGCAAACUUAGCUUUGAUAGCCAAGGCAAGGCAAAGCAAGUCAAGGCUUGACUUGGCAUAGCUUUACUGUACUUGUCUUCUUUAUAGUAAAAUAAAGUAUAGCCAAGUAAAGCCAUGGAAAGGUACAGCUAGGCAAGGUAAGGCAAGGCAUGCCUUGACUUGGCUAGAAUUAGCUUGGCUUCUCUUCGCAUCAGGCCAUAGAAAGGCAAGAGGAGACAAGGCACAGCAACUUGAUUUGAUCUAAAUUGGAUUAUAAAUAGCCAAAAUAUGAAAAGGCAAGACAAAUUAAGGGAGGCAAGAGAAGACUUUGCUGUGAUUGCCUUGACUUGGCUAAUCACUAAUAGCCCAGGCAUGGAAAGGCAAUGUAAUACAAGGCAAAGCAAAGCUUGGCCUGGUUUGGCUUCCUCUCAGUAGCCAUGUCAUGGUAAAGUAAGACAACCCAAGGCAAAGCAAGGCAAGAUAAAGUCUGGCUUCCACUUGAUAGUCAGGACAUAGCAAGGCAAGACAACAUAAGUCAAAGGAUCGCAAGGUACUGCUUGCCUUCUGCUCAAUAACUACAUCACAUCCAGGCACCAUAACAUAAGCAAGGCAAGUCUUGGAGUGGCACAUUUUCAUUCCUUAUGGUAUGUUUAUAUCUGGUGAGGCAAGGCAAAGAAGACUUGAAGGCAUGUCUUGAAAUGGUUUGACCUGGCUUUUUCUCAAUAGGCAGUCCAUGUGAAGGCAAGGCAAUAAAAGGCAUGGCUCAGCUAGACUUUUCUUGGUUUCUCCUAAAUAGCCAAACUAUGAAAGCCAAAGAAAGGCAAGGCAAGGCAGACAAGCAAGAGAGAGAAGGAAAAACAUGGCUCAGCCUGGUUUCUCCUAGAAGCCAAGCCAUGGGAGUCAAGACAAGGCAAGAUACGACAAAACUGGCCUUCUCCUUGAUAGCCAAACCAUGAUGAGGUUAGGUGAGGCAUAGCAAAGCAAAGGUAGUAAAGGCCAUUCUUGGAUUCGUCUUGAGAGCCAAGGCAUAGCAAUGCAAGCCAAGCCAAGGCACAGAAAGAGCAUGUUUUGCUUCCUCUGUAUAUUCAAAUCAUGGAAACUCAAGGCAAGUACCUACAAGAAUGAGCCAGGUCUAGCGUCCACUAGUAGCCAAGCCAUGAUGUGGUAAGGCCAAAUAAGACAAAGUUUGGAUUGGAUUGGCUUAGAUUGGCUUGGCUUAUCAAUAUGCAAGCAAGCAAAGCUGCCUUGACUUCCUUGCCUUUCCCCAAUAGGUAAACUAUGGAAAUCAAGGGAAACCAGAUACACAAUGCAUUCCCACUAUGCUCAACCUAUGGAAAGGCAAGGCAAGAUAAUGCAAAGCAAUGGAAAACAAGGCAAUAUUCGGUUUCCCCUUGAUAGUCAAAACAUGGAAAGGAAUCGUUUGGCUUCCUCUCAAUAGCCAAGCAAUGCAUUCUAAGUAAAGAUAAGCCAUAGUAACUGGCCUUUCCCUCUAUAGCCAAGAAUUGUGGAGACAAAGCAAAGUAAGGCAAAACAACUCAAGCCUCAUUUUAUAGUCAAUCCAUGGCAAGGCAAGGCAAGGCAACAAAAGGCAAGGACAGUCAAGGCUUGGCUUUCCCUUUAUGACCAAGUCAUAUUAAUAAAGACAAGGCAAGGAAUGGCAAUGCCAAGAAAUAUUUUCCUCUCCAUUGCUAAGUAUGAGGGAAGGAGUUUGGAAAGUUUACAGAUACAAGAAGGAAAAGUUUAGAUUGUUUUAAGCAGAGUUUAAUGGGUAAUUCUGGAGGAAACUCAGAAGACCAAAAUGUCAAAAGACAGUGGACACUAAAGACAGUGGACUCUAUUAGAAAUUGGACUAGAGGCCAUUUGUGUUACAUUCUGGUAAAGAAGUUGUCUUCAUUUUGCCAAUAUCCCAAAACUUUCUGAGGCUGAAUGGACUAAUUUAUCUGGAGGUAGAAAUUUCAAGAUAGCAUAGCAUUCAGGGUAUAUCAUGGAUAUUUCUAGCAGUAUUUGGUCAAGUUUUCUGUGAUAAUAAGCUGAAGGCAGAGAAAAAGAAUUAAAAACCCAGAAGUUUGGUAAAAAGUGACUAAAAUUGGGGUUAAGGAAAGUAUGGCAAAGAGAUUACAACAAUCACCUUCCCCAGAAACAAUAGGAAAGAUGACUUGACAACAUCCCACAAAUGUCAAAACCACACUCAUCUCAGGAUCAAGGGUGUAAAAAUAAAAUUUUCUUUGAGAAUACACCAGUUGGGCAUUCUCCCUGCAUAGAGAAUUCUUGGAAUUUGUUUCACCAUGAUCAGUUACCUGGGCACUCAGAGAUUGCUACAGCUGUUAUCCCCAGGAGGCUUUGCUUGACAUGGUUUUAGAUCUUGGCAUCAAUCACAAGAUGCUGAUUCUGCAGGAUUGCAUGAUUUUGGAGUUAGGGUGUUAUGGAGGGUCCCACUGCAUAUUGUAUUCACAUUGUUUCAAAAGAAGGCCUAAGAGAGCAGGCAAAGUGUAGCAGGGUCAGAGUCUCUGUGGACUGCCUCUCAGAGAGUGAUGAGCAAAAAAAUGAGCAGAAACCCAAAGCUUCAGAUUAAGAGAUGCCAGUCACAUGGGAUUUCUACCACAGAAAGUUGUAGGAAUUGAGAAGAGGUCAGGUAGGCUGCAAUCAGAAGUCCCUGAGAGGAGGAGAAAUGUUUCUCUCAGGUGGUUACCUUGGCUUGAUCUCAGGUUAUGGCUUCUAUGUGCAGUUUUCCAUGUGUGGAAAACUGCACCCAUAUUUCUCAGAAUGAUGCAUUUCUGAGGGUUCUUAUGACCCAAUUUUAGUGCAUUAGUGCAUUGUAAUAAUUCUCCCUGGCCACAUUUAUGAGAUUUAUUGAUCAGCUCUCAAGAGUCAAGGGCUGAAAAACAAAUGGCCCUUGUUGCACUGCUAGAGAAGCAGGACAAGGUAAAGUAAAUAUUUUCCACAGAAAUAGUAGACACACAGGAUGUAAGUGUGCCAGUUUUAGGCAGUCUGAAACCAUUCCUUCUAGAAGAUGGUAAAGGAAAACCUAGUAUUAGAAUAAUUAUUUUUAUUAUGUUAUUUUACUUUGAGUUCUUUUUAGUACAUUGUAUACAUAAUGGUAGGGAUUCAUCCUGACAUUCAUAAAUGUGUAUAACACAGUUUUUGCCAUUGAAAUUUCCAUAUUAUGCCCUUUUUUUUCUUCCCUCCUCCCUCCCCUAAUCUCCUUUCUCUACCCUAGUGGUCUUCAUUCAAUUUAUUCAUUUUUUAAUUGAUACAUUUUAGCUAUAUAUAAAAUUACAAUCCACCGUGCUAUAUUCAGGCAUUCACUUUGUAUUAUUCUUUGACUUAUAAACAAUAAUCAGUUAUUUCUUAUAGUUCUGAAGGAUGGGGAGUUCAAGAUCAAGUUUCUGUCAUUUACAUUGUCUGUCUUAGGCCUGUUCUUUGUAGUCAGUGCCUUCUCUCUUCAUCCUGGUGGUGGAAGGGGCUAGCUAGCUAUUCAGGGUCUCUUUCUCUUUUCCAAUUGACACAUGAUAAUUGUCUACAUCUAUGGGGUACACUGUGAUAUUUCAAUCUAUGAAUACAAUUUGCAGUGACCUAGUCAGGAUAAUCAAUAUCCUUCUCAAACAUUUAUCAUUUCUUUGUGUUUAAAACAUUUAUACUCCUGUGUCCUCAUUUUUCACAAAAUAAAUAAUAAUUUUUUGUUAAUAAUAGUCACCCUAAUAUACUAUAGAACACUAGACCUGAUUCCUUCUAUAUACAUAAAUGUAUGUGUGUAUAUAUAUAUAUAUCUAUAUAUAUAUGUAUAUAUAUAUGUGUUUGUAUAUGUAUGUGUAUGUAUAUACAUACAUACACACAUUGUCUUUUUAGUUAUACAUGACGGUAGAGUCUCUUUUGACACAGUUAUUCAAAGAUGAAGUUAUUCUUUCUAAAUAGUAUCCCAGUUUUGUGCAUGUACACAGUGUUGAGAUUUUACUGUGGUGGACUUAUAUAUGUACAUAAGAAACUUAUGUCAGAUUUAUUCCACUGCCUUUCCUAUUUCUAUCCCCAUCUUUCCCCUUCAAUAUUCACUGUCUAAUCCACUGAACCUCUAUCUCCUCCUUUUGUUGUGUGUUAGCAUCCACAUAUCAGAGAGACCAUUCAACCUUUGCUUUUGAGAGAUUGACUUAUUUCACUUAGCAUGAUAUUCUCUAGAUCCUUUCAUUUACCAGUAAAAGUCAUAAAUUAUUCUUCUUUAUGGCUGAGUAAUAAAUCUUUCUUUGAGGUGGUGUUCAUAGCUCAGCUUCAGGCUCUGAAUGGAUCGUGAAAUGCACAUUCAUGGAAACCUAUGUGAUUUUUGAUGUCCCAGAAAGCCUCACUCAUGAGGGCACCACUGGCCUAACCUUUGGGAAUAGGAAUUACACUCCCCUGGACAGGCUUACGACAGUUUGAUUAUUCUCAGCUGGGGUUCUAGGAGCUAAAUGAAGAGACUUGUCUGACUCAAACCAUUAGGAGAAGAAUCUGGAGACACUCAGGAUUCAGUGUUUCAAUGGUAGGCAACUUGACUCAAUUUGUGGUAGAAAGAGCUGUAAAGAAAUUUCUGGAAAUAGGAGAAACAUUUGAACAAACAUGGGGGCAUGUCUAGGCCAAAAGUUGGAGGCAGGAUACGUAGUGCAUAUGCUUAGAUUCCUGAUCCCAGAAUGGGAUCCCAGUCACAUUCCUGAGGUUUCUUUUGGCCCAAAUGUAAAUAUUGCAAUAACCUCUUCUUCAACAGAGUUAGAAGGGGAGAGUUUGGUCACAUGUAGGGAGCCAGCAGACACAUGAAGGGACUUGCCUGUGAUAACCCUACAUGCAGCUUAGAAAAAAAAUGAGAUAAAGGAUUCACUAAAAAGAAAAAAAAUUGAGAAUGCAAACUUGCCAUUUUCAGGCCAUCUGAAUACCUUUCUCGCAGGAAUAGUGAGAAAUAAUUUCCAAGUCUCCUGUCAAUCAACCGCCACUUGCACUGCUAACUCCAUUGCUGCCUCUGAUUCCGCUGCCACCAGCCUGAGAUCCUAUGGAGGUCUUCUUUCUGGAUGCUACUGCCACAGAAGGAAACCACUGCCUUGGAUGCAACUGAAGCCUACACUGCUGCUGACCCUGGAGAUCACCUAGAUACAAUGCCCCCUCAGUUGCUAUUGUAGCUACCGCUGCAACCACCACUACUGCUGACUCCCUGCCAGCAACCACCACCACUACCGCUGCUACCAUAGCCUAGAGGACUACUUCGAGGGAGACUUAAGCCCAUUUGGGGACACCAGUCAGUGCGGGGCCCUGGGUGCCAGCAGGUUUACCACCACAAAAGCCUCUGUCUGGGGACUCCCGCUGGGACAUGCAGGUCCAGUGUGGGGGUGCCAGAAGGUUUGGAGGAGCCUGGGGUCUUCCUGGUGAGAGUGCUGGUGGCCAUUGUCUUGCUGCUGCUGCAUCUCAGAGUUGCUCCUUUGCAUGAGUGUAUCCCUGGUGGUCUCUCAGCAAGUAUGAGCAGCAUUGAGAACUUGGGACUGCAGCGUGGCCAAUCCUGAGGUAUCUGUAAAGGUCGGGCGAGCGUCAGAGGAAGAGACCACCAAGAGACUGUCACAUGCAACAGCAAAGGGUUUAUUGGGGGUCCAGCAUGCUGGGGCUCAGAGCUCACUUGAAUAGAGCAGAGAGCCCCGGGAACAGCUUAAGCAGAGCUUAU
rnacentral:lncRNA from 1 species